UACGUAGGGUGCGAGCGUUGUCCGGAAUUAUUGGGCGUAAAGAGCUUGUAGGUGGUUUGUCGCGUCUGCUGUGAAAAUCCGAGGCUCAACCUCGGACUUGCAGUGGGUACGGGCAGACUAGAGUGUGGUAGGGGAGACUGGAAUUCUCGGUGUAGCAGUGAAAUGCGUAGAUAUCGAGAGGAACACCAGUGGCGAAGGCGAGUCCCUGGACACUUCCUGACACUGAGGCACGAAAGCUAGGGGAGCAAACAGG
rnacentral:rRNA from 1 species